rnacentral:rRNA from 1 species
GAUGAACGCUGGCGGCGUGCCUAAUACAUGCAAGUCGAGCGAACAGACGAGAAGCUUGCUUCUCUGAUGUUAGCGGCGGACGGGUGAGUAACACGUGGAUAACCUACCUAUAAGACUGGGAUAACUUCGGGAAACCGGAGCUAAUACCGGAUAAUAUUUUGAACCGCAUGGUUCAAUAGUGAAAGACGGUCUUGCUGUCACUUAUAGAUGGAUCCGCGCUGCAUUAGCUAGUUGGUAAGGUAACGGCUUACCAAGGCAACGAUGCGUAGCCGACCUGAGAGGGUGAUCGGCCACACUGGAACUGAGACACGGUCCAGACUCCUACGGGAGGCAGCAGUAGGGAAUCUUCCGCAAUGGGCGAAAGCCUGACGGAGCAACGCCGCGUGAGUGAUGAAGGUCUUCGGAUCGUAAAACUCUGUUAUUAGGGAAGAACAAAUGUGUAAGUAACUAUGCACAUCUUGACGGUACCUAAUCAGAAAGCCACGGCUAACUACGUG